GACGAACGCUGGCGGCGUGCUUAACACAUGCAAGUCGAACGAAGUGGCGAACGGGUGAGUAACGCGUAAUCAACCUGCCCUUCAGAGGGGGACAACAGUUGGAAAAGACUGCUAAUACCGCAUACUGAAGGAGGGGAGUGCGUCGGAUUAGCUAGUUGGAGGGGUAACGGCCCACCAAGGGGAUGAUCAGUAACCGGUCUGAGAGGAUGAACUGCAACAUUGGGACUGAGACACGGCCCAGACUCCUUCUGGAGGCAGCAGUGGGGAAACUUCCGCAAUUGACGAAAUUCCGACUGAGGAACGCCGCGUGAGUGAUGACGGCCUUCGGGGUGUAAAGCUCUGUUAAUCGGGACGCGGUACCGGAAUAGAAAGCCACGGCUAACUACGUGCCAGCAGCCGCGGUAAUUC
rnacentral:rRNA from 1 species